GGUGCUGUGGCUCAAGUGGUAGAGUGCUAGCCUUGAGCUGAAGAGCUCCUGGGUUCGAUUCCUCAGCACCA
rnacentral:tRNA from 1 species